rnacentral:rRNA from 1 species
CUUACGGCGGAGACCUAGGUACUCAGAGACGAAGAAGGGCGCAGGUACCGGCGAAACGCUUCGGGGAGCUGGCAACAAGCUUUGAUCCGGAGAUUCCCGAAUAGGGCAACCUCAAGAACUACCUAUACAAUUCAUAGUUAGGAAAGAGAGAACCUGGUGAACUGAAACAUCUUAGUAGCCAGAGGAAAAGAAAGCAAACGCGAUUCCCAAAGUAGCGGCGAGCGAAAUGGGAACAGCCUAAACCAGUUUUUACAAUUGGGGUAGUG